AGUCGAGGGGCAGCAUAUAGAUUGCUUGCAAUUUAUGAUGGCGACCGGCACACGGGUGAGUAACGCGUAUCCAACCUACCCAUUACUAGGGAAUAACCCAGCGAAAGUUGGCCUAAUGCCCUAUGUAGUCGUUUGAUCGCCUGAGAUUUCGACGAAAGAUUUAUCGGUAUUGGAUGGGGAUGCGUCUGAUUAGCUUGUUGGCGGGGUAAAGGCCCACCAAGGCAACGAUCAGUAGGGGUUCUGAGAGGAAGGUCCCCCACAUUGGAACUGAGACACGGUCCAAACUCCUACGGGAGGCAGCAGUGAGGAAUAUUGGUCAAUGGGCGAGAGCCUGAACCAGCCAAGUAGCGUGCAGGAUGACGGCCCUAUGGGUUGUAAACUGCUUUUAUAUGGGAAUAAAGUGAGGGACGUGUCCCUUAUUGCAUGUACCAUAUGAAUAAGGACCGGCUAAUUCCGUGCCAGCAGCCGCGGUAAUACGGAAGGUCCAGGCGUUAUCCGGAUUUAUUGGGUUUAAAGGGAGCGUAGGCUGUUUGUUAAGCGUGUUGUGAAAUGUAAGAGCUCAACUUUUAGAUUGCAGCGCGAACUGGCAGACUUGAGUGCGCACAACGUAGGCGGAAUUCAUGGUGUAGCGGUGAAAUGCUUAGAUAUCAUGACGAACUCCGAUUGCGAAGGCAGCUUACGGGAGCGCAACUGACGCUAA
rnacentral:rRNA from 1 species